rnacentral:rRNA from 1 species
GACGAACGCUGGCGGCGUGCUUAACACAUGCAAGUCGAACGCUGAAGGCCUGGCUUUUGUUGGGUUGGUUGAGUGGCGAACGGGUGAGUAACACGUGAGUAACCUGCCCUCUUCUUUGGGAUAACGCCCUGAAACGGGUGCUAAUACUGGAUAUUCACUGAUCUUCGCAUGGGGGUUGGUGGAAAGGUUUGUUCUGGUGGGGAAUGGGCUCGCGGCCUAUCAGCUUGUUGGUGGGGUGAUGGCCUACCAAGGCUUUGACGGGUAGCCGGCCUGAGAGGGUGACCGGUAACAUUGGGACUGAGAGACGGUCCAGAGUUCUACGGGAGGCAGCAGUGGGGAAUAUUGAACAAUGGGUGAACGCCUGAUGCAGCGACGCCGCGUGAGGGAUGGAGGCCUGAGGGUUGUAAACCUCUUUCGCUCAUGGUCAAGCCGCAACUGUGGGUUGUGGUGAGGGUAGUGGGUAAAGAAGCGCCGGCUAACUACGUG